AUCGACAUCUUCACUCGUAACGAAAACAAACUCAUUGCCUUAAUAGCCCUGGCCACACGAAGGGCAAUAGCGGAAACAUGGUCCACACCGCGCAUCCCAACCCAACUGCAGAUACACACUAAAAUAACUGACAGCGUAAACAUGGAUAAGCUGACUGCACAAAUACAUGACACCCCCAACUCAUUCCACAAAGUGUGGGACCCAUGGCUGGAGGGGAACAACACCCUCCCAUGGUGACCCGCGGCAAUCCCACCGACUAACACCACCCAAGCACACCUACAACACGUUGCAAAUCUGAGGCUCGACCCCACUUUUCGCCCUUAACCUUCC